UAUGUAUAUAUUUCCUUGGAUCCUAAACUGUUGGUCAUACUCUGCCUUAUUUAUGGCUUUUGACUUCCAUGCUUGAGUAAAUAUAUUUAGAAGUUAUCAAUAAUACAAAAACAUUUGUGUAGUGAUAUUUAGGUUCGAUGUGUAAUCGAAAACAAUUAAACUAUGUUCAUGAGUGCGUUAACCAAAGUGUGUAAGGACAUAGGAAUUCUCGCUUGACUUGGCCAGGAAAUUCGUCCGACUUAAACCCUAUUGGCCACUUAUGGCACGAAAUGAAACGAAAAGUGACAGACCAGAAACCACAAAAUAAGUUGCAGCUGAUUUCGUCCUUGGAAAAUGUUUGGGACAACGUUAUUACCGAGGAUACUCUGCGAGUCCUUGUUGAUUCAAUGCCGUCGCGAAUAAUGGCAGUUAUACAGGCUAAAGGGGGCGUGACAACCUAUUAGUAUUUUUUUUCUUUUCAUUUAACAUUACUUUUAAAAAAUGAAAUGAGUUAUAAAUCUUACAUCGGAGAUGAGCCCACAAGAAUUUUUUUCCGCUAACCAUUGAAUUUUGCUGUUUUUUUGUUUGGGGCAAAAAUCAAGGAUAUCAAUAGUAUAGAAAUAAAUAUUUUACUCCAUAACGUCUUUUUCCUAGUAAAUUAUCUUAUUGUAAAUAAAGAAACCUUAUUCUCUUA